GGCCGAGUACGCAAACCGGUAAAGCGACCAGGUCGAGAACCUGGCGAUUGUUUGUGGGUUCGAAUCCCACCUCGGCUA
rnacentral:tRNA from 1 species